GAUGAACGCUGGCGGCGUGCCUAAUACAUGCAAGUAGAACGCUGAAGCUUGGUGCUUGCACCGAGCGGAUGAGUUGCGAACGGGUGAGUAACGCGUAGGUAACCUGCCUCUUAGCGGGGGAUAACUAUUGGAAACGAUAGCUAAUACCGCAUAAAAGUCGAUAUCGCAUGAUAUUGAUUUGAAAGGUGCAAAUGCAUCACUAAGAGAUGGACCUGCGUUGUAUUAGCUAGUUGGUGAGGUAACGGCUCACCAAGGCGACGAUACAUAGCCGACCUGAGAGGGUGAUCGGCCACACUGGGACUGAGACACGGCCCAGACUCCUACGGGAGGCAGCAGUAGGGAAUCUUCGGCAAUGGGGGCAACCCUGACCGAGCAACGCCGCGUGAGUGAAGAAGGUUUUCGGAUCGUAAAGCUCUGUUGUAAGAGAAGAACGAGUGUGAGAGUGGAAAGUUCACACUGUGACGGUAACUUACCAGAAGGGGACGGCUAACUACGUG
rnacentral:rRNA from 1 species